AGUACCCCGAGGAAAAGAAAUCAACCGAGAUUCCCCCAGUAGCGGCGAGCGAACGGGGAGGAGCCCAGAGCCUGAAUCAGUGUGUGUGUUAGUGGAAGCGUCUGGAAAGGCGCGCGAUACAGGGUGACAGCCCCGUACACAAAAAUGCACAUAUUGUGAGCUCGAUGAGUAGGGCGGGACACGUGGUAUCCUGUCUGAAUAUGGGGGGACCAUCCUCCAAGGCUAAAUACUCCUGACUGACCGAUAGUGAACCAGUACCGUGAGGGAAAGGCGAAAAGAACCCCGGCGAGGGGAGUGAAAAAGAACCUGAAACCGUGUACGUACAAGCAGUGGGAGCCUCUUAAUGGGGUGACUGCGUACCUUUUGUAUAAUGGGUCAGCGACUUAUAUUCUGUAGCAAGGUUAACCGAAUAGGGGAGCCGAAGGGAAACCGAGUCUUAACUGGGCGUUAAGUUGCAGGGUAUAGACCCGAAACCCGGUGAUCUAGCCAUGGGCAGGUUGAAGGUUGGGUAACACUAACUGGAGGACCGAACCGACUAAUGUUGAAAAAUUAGCGGAUGACUUGUGGCUGGGGGUGAAAGGCCAAUCAAACCGGGAGAUAGCUGGUUCUCCCCGAAAGCUAUUUAGGUAGCGCCUCGUGAAUUCAUCUCCGGGGGUAGAGCACUGUUUCGGCAAGGGGGUCAUCCCGACUUACCAACCCGAUGCAAACUGCGAAUACCGGAGAAUGUUAUCACGGGAGACACACGGCGGGUGCUAACGUCCGUCGUGAAGAGGGAAACAACCCAGACCGCCAGCUAAGGUCCCAAAGUCAUGGUUAAGUGGGAAACGAUGUGGGAAGGCCCAGACAGCCAGGAUGUUGGCUUAGAAGCAGCCAUCAUUUAAAGAAAGCGUAAUAGCUCACUGGUCGAGUCGGCCUGCGCGGAAGAUGUAACGGGGCUAAACCAUGCACCGAAGCUGCGGCAGCGACACUAUGUGUUGUUGGGUAGGGGAGCGUUCUGUAAGCCUGUGAAGGUGGCCUGUGAGGGUUGCUGGAGGUAUCAGAAGUGCGAAUGCUGACAUAAGUAACGAUAAAGCGGGUGAAAAGCCCGCUCGCCGGAAGACCAAGGGUUCCUGUCCAACGUUAAUCGGGGCAGGGUGAGUCGACCCCUAAGGCGAGGCCGAAAGGCGUAGUCGAUGGGAAACAGGUUAAUAUUCCUGUACUUGGUGUUACUGCGAAGGGGGGACGGAGAAGGCUAUGUUGGCCGGGCGACGGUUGUCCCGGUUUAAGCGUGUAGGCUGGUUUUCCAGGCAAAUCCGGAAAACCAAGGCUGAGGCGUGAUGACGAGGCACUACGGUGCUGAAGCGACAAAUGCCCUGCUUCCAGGAAAAGCCUCUAAGCAUCAGGUAACAUCAAAUCGUACCCCAAACCGACACAGGUGGUCAGGUAGAGAAUACCAAGGCGCUUGAGAGAACUCGGGUGAAGGAACUAGGCAAAAUGGUGCCGUAACUUCGGGAGAAGGCACGCUGAUAUGUAGGUGAAGCGACUUGCUCGUGGAGCUGAAAUCAGUCGAAGAUACCAGCUGGCUGCAACUGUUUAUUAAAAACACAGCACUGUGCAAACACGAAAGUGGACGUAUACGGUGUGACGCCUGCCCGGUGCCGGAAGGUUAAUUGAUGGGGUUAGCGGUAACGCGAAGCUCUUGAUCGAAGCCCCGGUAAACGGCGGCCGUAACUAUAACGGUCCUAAGGUAGCGAAAUUCCUUGUCGGGU
rnacentral:rRNA from 1 species